UACGUAGGGUGCGAGCGUUAAUCGGAAUUACUGGGCGUAAAGCGUGCGCAGGCGGUUUUUGAAGCCAGAUGUGAAAGCCCCGGGCUCAACCUGGGAAUUGCAUUUGAGACUGCUCUGCUCGGGUGCGGAAGAGGGAAGCGGAAUUUCCGGUGUAGCGGUGAAAUGCGUAGAUAUCGGAAGGAACACCAGUGGCGAAAGUGGCUUCCUGGUCCGACACCGACGUUCAGGCACGAAAGCGUGGGGAGCAAACAGG
rnacentral:rRNA from 1 species